rnacentral:rRNA from 1 species
UACGGAGGGUGCAAGCGUUAAUCGGAAUUACUGGGCGUAAAGCGUGCGCAGGCGGUCUUGCAAGACAGAUGUGAAAUCCCCGGGCUCAACCUGGGAACUGCAUUUGUGACUGCAAGGCUGGAGUGCGGCAGAGGGGGAUGGAAUUCCGCGUGUAGCAGUGAAAUGCGUAGAUAUGCGGAGGAACACCGAUGGCGAAGGCAAUCCCCUGGGCCUGCACUGACGCUCAUGCACGAAAGCGUGGGGAGCAAACAGG